UACGAGGGGGGCGAGCGUUGUUCGGAAUUAUUGGGCGUAAAGGGUGCGUAGGCGGUCGGAUAAGUCUUGUGUGAAAUCUUCGGGCUCAACUCGAAGUCUGCACAGGAAACUAUCUGGCUUGAGUGUGGGAGAGGUGAGUGGAAUUCCUGGUGUAGCGGUGAAAUGCGUAGAUAUCAGGAGGAACACCUGUGGCGAAAGCGGCUCACUGGACCACAACUGACGCUGAGGCGCGAAAGCUAGGGGAGCAAACAGG
rnacentral:rRNA from 1 species